GUGGGAAUCUGGCCUCUAGAGGGGGAUAACUCGGGGAAACUCGGGCUAAUACCGCAUAAUCUCUAAGGAGGAAAGCGGGGGACCGAAAGGCCUCGCGCUGGGGGAUGAGCCUGGGUCCGAUUAGCUAGUUGGUGGGGUAAGGGCCUACCAAGGCGAUGAUCGGUAGCUGGUCUGAGAGGACGAUCAGCCACACUGGGACUGAGACACGGCCCAGACUCCUACGGGAGGCAGCAGUGGGGAAUAUUGGACAAUGGGGGCAACCCUGAUCCAGCAAUGCCGCGUGGGUGAAGAAGGCUUUCGGGUUGUAAAGCCCUUUCAGUGGGGAAGAAAAGCGAUGUGUGAAUAGCACAUCGUGUUGACGUUACCUACAGAAGAAGCACCGGCUGACUCCGUGCCAGCAGCCGCGGUAAUACGGAGGGUGCGAGCGUUAAUCGGAAUUACUGGGCGUAAAGGGCGCGUAGGCGGUUUGGUAAGUUGGGUGUGAAAGCCCCGGGCUCAACCUGGGAAUGGCACUUGAUACUGCCUGGCUAGAGUAUGGUAGAGGGAGGCGGAAUUUCCGGUGUAGCGGUGAAAUGCGUAGAUAUCGGAAGGARCACCAGUGGCGAAGGCGGCCUCCUGGACCACUACUGACGCUUGAGGGCGAAAAGCRUGGGAGCAAACAGGAUUAGAUCCCUGGUAGUCCACGCUCUAACGAUGAGAACUAGACGUUGGGAGGGUAGCCUUUCAGUGUUGCAGCUUACGCGUUAAGUUCUCCGCCUGGGGAGUACGGCCGCAAGGUUGAAACUCAAAUGAWUUGACGGGGGCCCGCACAAGCGGUGGAGCAUGUGGUUUAAUUCGAUGCUACGCGAAGAACCUUACCUGGCCUUGACAUCCCCGGAACUUUGCUGAGAGGCGAAGGUGCCUUCGGGAGCCGGGAGACAGGUGCUGCAUGGCUGUCGUCAGCUCGUG
rnacentral:rRNA from 1 species